UUAUAUUAGUUAUGAAAUAUAUUUCAAGAAAUUUUAUAUCUAGUUUUUUAAGAGUAAAAGUUUAAUAGAAUAAUUUUUAUAAAAAUUAAUAUGGUUUAGCUUAUUAAUUUUAUAUACUGAUAGAAUUUUUUAACCUUAGUAAAUUUGAUAGUGUUUAUUUUAUAAAUUUAUAAUGAAGGGUAAUAUGAAUAAAAAUUUUUAUUUGUUAUUUUUUUAUUAAAAAAUUUAUUAAAAUUUUAGAGUUUUAUUUAUAAUGAAAAAAUUAGUAAAAAUUUAUUUAUAUUAAAAAAUAAUUAAUAAUUUAUAAUUGUUAUAAUUAUUAUAAAAAAUGAAUUCGGCAAAAAGUAUUAUUUGACUGUUUAGCAAAAACAUUGUUUCAUGAAAAGUGUAUGAAAUAAUGUCUGUCCACUGAUAUAUUUGAAGGACUGCAGUAUAUUGACUGUAUAAAAGUAGCAUAAUCAUUAGCUUUUUAAUUUGGGGUUGGUAUGAAGGCGAAACGGAUAAGUUCUUUAUUUUUUAUAAGUGUUUUAAGUUUAUUUUUAAGUGAAAAAUCUUAAUUAUAUGAGAGGGACAAGAAGACCCUAAUAAGUUUUAUUUUUCUUUUAUUUAUGUUAUAGGAAAAUUUAAUUAGAUAAUAUUAAAUUAGAAAUUUGGUUGGGGCGAUUAGUUAAAAAACAUAAUUUAUUUAUAAUUUUU
rnacentral:rRNA from 1 species